GCUUGAAGCUUUGAAGCCAGAAUUCCAACUUUAAGUGGAUGAGCUGAACAAAGCUUAUGAUAGAAUUCAGCUGCGCGAACUUGAUGGGCCAGAAAGGAUUUCAUACGGUUCUGAGCCAUCUUCUUCAGAAUGCCCCUCUUACUCGAACACCAGUGUGAAGCAGCCUUCUGGUGUGGCACGUCAGUUGUCCUGGAAGUACAACAACAAUCAUACUCGAGUUUCAUCUUCAUGCUCGAGUUUCAUCUUCAAACUCCCCAUAAUUUGACAAGCAGUUGCAGAAGCUGUGACUGUUCCAAGAUUACAGUUUUGCAUUUAGAGACAUGAGACCUGUAGAUGAUUCUUCUUGGCGAAUAUUUUAGAAGUUGGGAUCCCUUCUAUUUUCUACAUGCCACAUCGGUUCCUGUCAACUUGUGCCUG
rnacentral:misc_RNA from 1 species